CACCAUCUGGCUCAGUUGGUAGAGCACCUGACUCUUGAUCUCGGGGUUGUGAGUUCAAGCCCCAUGUUGGGAG
rnacentral:tRNA from 1 species